rnacentral:rRNA from 1 species
AACGAACGCUGGCGGCAGGCCUAACACAUGCAAGUCGAGCGAGACCUUCGGGUUUAGCGGCGGACGGGUUAGUAACGCGUGGGAACGUGCCCUUUUCUACGGAAUAGUCUCGGGAAACUGAGGGUAAUACCGUAUACGCCCUUCGGGGGAAAGAUUUAUCGGAGAAGGAUCGGCCCGCGUCUGAUUAGAUAGUUGGUGGGGUAAUGGCCUACCAAGUCUACGAUCAGUAGCUGGUUUUAGAGGAUGAUCAGCAACACUGGGACUGAGACACGGCCCAGACUCCUACGGGAGGCUGCAGUGGGGAAUCUUAGACAAUGGGCGCAAGCCUGAUCUAGCCAUGCCGCGUGAGUGAUGAAGGCCUUAGGGUCGUAAAGCUCUUUCGCCAGGGAUGAUAAUGACAGUACCUGGUAAAGAAACCCCGGCUAACUCCGUGCCAGCAGCCGCGGUAACAC